UGCAAGUCGAGCGGAAACGAGUUAUCUGAACCUUCGGGGAACGAUAACGGCGUCGAGCGGCGGACGGGUGAGUAAUGCCUAGGAAAUUGCCCUGAUGUGGGGGAUAACCAUUGGAAACGAUGGCUAAUACCGCAUGAUGCCUACGGGCCAAAGAGGGGGACCUUCGGGCCUCUCGCGUCAGGAUAUGCCUAGGUGGGAUUAGCUAGUUGGUGAGGUAAGGGCUCACCAAGGCGACGAUCCCUAGCUGGUCUGAGAGGAUGAUCAGCCACACUGGAACUGAGACACGGUCCAGACUCCUACGGGAGGCAGCAGUGGGGAAUAUUGCACAAUGGGCGCAAGCCUGAUGCAGCCAUGCCGCGUGUGUGAAGAAGGCCUUCGGGUUGUAAAGUACUUUCAGUCGUGAGGAAGGCGGUGUAGUUAAUAGCUGCAUUAUUUGACGUUAGCGACAGAAGAAGCACCGGCUAACUCCGUGCCAGCAGCCGCGGUAAUACGGAGGGUGCGAGCGUUAAUCGGAAUUACUGGGCGUAAAGCGCAUGCAGGUGGUUUGUUAAGUCAGAUGUGAAAGCCCGGGGCUCAACCUCGGAAUAGCAUUUGAAACUGGCAGACUAGAGUACUGUAGAGGGGGGUAGAAUUUCAGGUGUAGCGGUGAAAUGCGUAGAGAUCUGAAGGAAUACCGGUGGCGAAGGCGGCCCCCUGGACAGAUACUGACACUCAGAUGCGAAAGCGUGGGGAGCAAACAGGAUUAGAUACCCUGGUAGUCCACGCCGUAAACGAUGUCUACUUGGAGGUUGUGGCCUUGAGCCGUGGCUUUCGGAGCUAACGCGUUAAGUAGACCGCCUGGGGAGUACGGUCGCAAGAUUAAAACUCAAAUGAAUUGACGGGGGCCCGCACAAGCGGUGGAGCAUGUGGGUUUAAUUCGAUGCAACGCGAAGAACCUUACCUACUCUUGACAUCCAGAGAACUUUCCAGAGAUGGAUUGGUGCCUUCGGGAACUCUGAGACAGGUGCUGCAUGGCUGUCGUCAGCUCGUGUGUGAAAUGUUGGGUAAGUCCCGCAACGAGC
rnacentral:rRNA from 1 species